rnacentral:rRNA from 1 species
CCUCGGGGGGCAGCAGUGGGGAAUAUUGCACAAUGGGGGAAACCCUGAUGCAGCGACGCCGCGUGAGUGAAGAAGUAUUUCGGUACGUAAAGCUCUAUCAGCAGGGAAGAAAAAAGUCCUUUGGACUUUGGACGGUACCUGACCAAGAAGCCCCGGCUAACUACGUGCCAGCAGCCGCGGUAAUACGUAGGGGGCAAGCGUUAUCCGGAUUUAUUGGGUUAAAAGGGUGCGUAGGCGGAUCGUUAAGUCAGUGGUCAAAUUGAGGGGCUCAACCCCUUCCCGCCAUGGAAACUGGCGUUCUUGAGUGGAAGAGAAGUAUGCGGAAUGCGUGGUGUAGCGGUGAAAUGCAUAGAUAUCACGCAGAACCCCGAUUGCGAAGGCAGCAUGCCGGCUUCCGACUGACGCUGAAGCACGAAAGCGUGGGGAUCGAACAGGAUUAGAUACCCGAGUAGUC